GCGCCGGUGGUGUAAGGCGAACAUCGCUGCCCUGAAAGCAGAAGAUGCGGGUUCGAGUCCCGCCUGGCGCA
rnacentral:tRNA from 1 species